UAGCAUAAUCAUUUGUCUUUUAAUUGAAGACUAGAACAAAAGAUUAAACAUUUUAACCAAUAUCUUUAAUUUAUUUAUUUAAAUUUUUUUAAAAGUUAAAAAACUUUUAUAAAAAAGAAAGACGACAAGACCCUAUUGAACUUUACUUUAGUUUAACUGGGGCAGUUAAUCAAAUAUUAUUUUAAUAAAAAUAUCAAUAUAAAUGAUCCAGUAUAACUGAUCAAAUAAUUCAGUUACCAUAGGGAUAACAGCGUAAUAAAUUUCAAAAGUUCAUAUAUAAAUAUAAGAUUACGACCUCGAUGUUGAAUAAUAACCUAAACAAAGCAAAAAUUGUAUAAGGAAGUCUGUUCGACUUUUAAAAAAUUACA
rnacentral:rRNA from 1 species